rnacentral:misc_RNA from 1 species
GUGAAUCAUCGAAUUUUUGAACGCAAAUUGCACUCUCUUCGGAGGGUAUGCCUGUUUGAGGGUCAGCCUAAAAAAAAAUCGACAUAUUCGCUUUUUCCCGUUGACAUUCGUCGGAAAUGGGGUCAUCUUAAACCUUUGGUUUUUAGGCGGCUUAAAUUUUUCUUUAGAAUUCAACGAACUUUUCUAGGUUUUACUUCUUGUACGUUUAAUGUAUCUAUCUUUAUUAGGCCUGUCCGUUGCAUCGGCGCGC